rnacentral:SRP_RNA from 1 species
UCGCACUAGUCGGGGAGUUAGCGGUGCCCUAUGCCUGCAAUCCGCUACAGCAGGGAUGAAUUCCCACACCCGGGUUUGUCUGAGUACCGUCCGGCCCGCGCAAGCGGUGUUGAGAGAUCGGUCUUGCGCAACGAUAUCCCAUGAACCAUGUCAGGCGGGGAACCGAGCAGCAUUAAGUGGAUCUUAUCGUGUGCCGCGAGGUUGCCGUUCUUGAGCUGGCUGCGCGGAUACCGGGUAUUCAGCAGAUUCAAAUGUGGGUGUGCGA